GGUCCGAUGCCACGUCGGCGGUAGCAAAAAAAAUAGCAGUGACCGGCGAUGCUAUGAUUGGACCAACAUCAAGUUUUUUUGACGCUUCGCAUUUUGAUAGGAAUCUGUGGAUGAAUAUUUGGUUUUUCCACAGAGCCGUUUUGUGCGAUUACAUUU
rnacentral:snoRNA from 1 species